rnacentral:rRNA from 1 species
UACGGAGGGGGCUAGCGUUGUUCGGAAUUACUGGGCGUAAAGCGCACGUAGGCGGCUUUGUAAGUUAGAGGUGAAAGCCCGGGGCUCAACUCCGGAAUUGCCUUUAAGACUGCAUCGCUAGAAUUGUGGAGAGGUAAGUGGAAUUCCGAGUGUAGAGGUGAAAUUCGUAGAUAUCUGGAGGAAUACCGGUGGCGAAGGCGGCAUCCUGGACCGAGAUUGACGCUGAACGGCGAAAGCUAGGGGAGCAAACGGG